rnacentral:rRNA from 1 species
ACUCCUACGGGAGGCAGCAGUGGGGAAUAUUGCACAAUGGGCGCAAGCCUGAUGCAGCAACGCCGCGUGAGCGAUGAAGGCCUUCGGGUCGUAAAGCUCUGUCCUCAAGGAAGAAUAAAUGACGGUACUUGAGGAGGAACGCCCGGCUAACUACGUGCCAGCAGCCGCGGUAAUACGUAGGGGCAAGCGUUAUCCGGAAUCACUGGGCGUAAAGGGUGCGUAGGCGGUUUUCAAGUCAGAAGUGAAAGGCUAUGGCUCAACCAUAGUAAGCUUUUGAAACUGUUAAACUUGAGUGCAGGAGAGGAAAGUGGAAUUCCUAGUGUAGAGGUGAAAUUCGUAGAUAUUAGGAGGAACACCGAGUGGCGAAGGCGACUUUCUGGACUGUAACUGACGCUGAGGCACGAAAGGCGUGGGAGCGAACAGGAUUAGAUACCCUGGUAGACUGUCAG